AAAGGAAAGAAAUGAGAAUCGAGCCAGGGCAACGGUGGUAUGCAUGCCUUUAAUCCCAGAACUCUGGAGGCAAAUGCAGACAGAUCUCUGAGUUUGAGGUCAGCCUGGUCUGCAGAGUGAGUUCCAGGACAGCCAGAGCUACACAGAGACACCCUGUGUAAAAAUAAAUAAAAGCUAAAUCUAUCUAGUCCAGCACGAUGGCUCACCAAGUGAAACACACUGGCUGGUAAGCCUGACAACCUGAGUCUGUCCGUGGGGCUUGCAUGGUGGACAGAGAAAACUGAUUCCGUGAAAACUGCCCUAUCAUCUCUACAUAUAUGUGCACACACUCACACAAACACACACAUAAAAUGUAAUAAAAACACAUCUGUUUUCCAAUAAAUAAAUAAGAGUCUCGCUGUGUGUGCUAUAUUUUUUUCCAAUUCUCUUUCACUAUAACUAAACAGAGAACAUCCAGAUUGCUGUCUGCUCCUACAGUCAGCCUGUCAUGAUACCCUGCCAUGGUCUCUCUGCAAGUUCCUCUGUGCAUUCAUACAAGACCAUGUAAACAGUGGAAAUAACCUGUUAUCGUUACAAAAAUAGUUUUGGUCUUGUGACCCAGCUCACAUUCUUAAGAACCAACGUCCUCGAGAAGUCCAAGAGCCUGUGUAACAUGCCCCUUGUAGUAUCAUUUGCUAUGGGAAAGUGGAGCCAGCACACCUGUCCAUCAGCAAGGGACUUUCAGCUUAGUGGGAGCCACACGAACCGUCCAUUCAGUCACUUAGCACAGGUGAACACACGAUGCUCAAUGUCAGAAGAGGGUCCUGGAUUCCCUGGAACUGUAGUCAUGGAUGACUGUAAGCUACCCAGCGCAGUGCUAAGAAUCAGACUUGGUUCUCUGUAGGAGCAGCAAGUGCUUUAACCUGCUGGGCUGUCUCUCUGGCCCUGGGAAACAAUGAGUUGAUUGAGCUUGCUUACAGGGUGUGAGUGAGGGCAGCAGUGGAGAAUCCUCACCGGCCAUGGGCCACAGCUUCUCCGUACACAUGGACGAAGCUCUUCUUCAGUGUACUCCCUCCCAUCCACAGCCUAUACACUCCACCCGAGAUGCCGAGGCCAUGAGCGAUCACAGCAGGACUGUGUAGACUGGGCUAGAAGCAGCAGGACUCUCAGGCGGACUCAACGAUCAACAAACCCAGAUCCUCAAAGUCUCUUGCAAACUGGCCCAGCUGAGCUAAGAAACAUGGUGGCCAUUUUGCUCAGAGAAUCGCUCUCUAGCAAGUACCCCCCUCCCCAUCACACAAUCUUGACUUGACUGCUAUAAUGAGCUGAACCUUCAAACUACCAAAAUAAAUCCUUUUUUUUU